AGCCCAGUCAAAAGACUGUUGAAGCCUAUGGAAAGAUGCCUUUGGCAGCCCCUUUCCCACAGCUGUGGGAACUUCAGCAGCAAACUAGCACCAGCUGUGCAAGUGGGGGGAGCCAUUUAGCCCGGCAUACUGGGACCUAAGGCAGCCACUCAAAGAGCUGAAUGUCCCCAAGUGCAAAUACCACCUUCAAAGCACCACUGUGACCACAAUGUCUCCAUCUAGAGAACACAGCAGUCCUGUGAAAGCUUCAAACUUUGCGUUAAGAAAAUGAGCAUCGCUUAUAAGCAUCCCAGAAAAGGGCAGAGGAGGCAGAGCAAGGAGUAGCCUGUGCUGGCAGUCCGGGUAGCACAGCCAGCCCUGAGCUAUUCCUAGCUCACCUCUCACACAUUAAAGCUGAAGGCACUCAGGAAACAACAACAGGUCUCAUAACCAAAGGUCCCAGCUCUGCAGGACGUGUCUAAGGGGCUCCCAGGGCACACCACUCCUCAACCCCCCUGUGGCUGACGCUGGAAGAGCAGCGUGGAAGGAAAGCCAAGGGCACCCAAAAGAGAGCCACCAUCCGGGUCGUGCCCUCCCCGUGCCUGCCACGUAGCCUGUUCCUACAGCAGUGACUUUUCUGCAUGCUAACACCUGCUACUGGGAACAGCAUUUUGCUGCCCAAGGGCGCAGAGAAGCCUGACUUCCACCAGGCUCUGCCUGGGAGCUCUCUCGCCGCUCAGCCUGAGUGGAGGGGCUGGGUGAGCAUCAGGGUCCCUCCCGCCCCUCUGCUCGUGCUCCAGCCCUGCAGCACUUCAGAUGAAGGAAUUGCUCCUUCGGGGAAUGGGACAUGCUCCGGCACUGCUCCCUGCCUCCUGCAAAACCUGCCCUGGCCAUGUGCUCCUUGCUAAGACAUGAAGCAACACAGAGGGGCUCUAAGUCCAGGCCAGUUACACCGAGCAUGCUGGUGCUACUGCCCCACGGAGCUCCAUGGACUACACGUCGGAAAAGCAGAGUAAUUCGGCCAGGAGACUGUCAAGGCUAUUGCUUUUCUGUGUACGGAGCAGAUCCUGACUGUAUUGGCAUGAACAGUGCUGCUCAUUUAAACCAGGUGGAUGAGGUUUGACGGGGGCUGAACACACUGACUGCUUGCAGAAAUGCCAGCUGCAGACAGUUCGUCCCUCACACAGCUCAAACCACAGUGAUCUCCGUGAUGGUACAUCUGAUAAAGAAAUUGCUACGUAGUCAUUUUGGGAUCAGGCAUCCAACACGAGGCGUGCCAUAAAGACAAAACCCCUUAAGACGGGUCCAUAUAAGGACUUGUGCGUGACAGAAACUUGGGACAUGCUUGGCAGAAAGGUUACAUCCAGGCAGAAUCCCAUAAAAACAAAACACCAAGAGGUGCAACACACAUCACUGUCCUCACUGCAGCUCUCCGCUGCGAUGAACAUGUUGAGUCUGUGCACUUCAAGGAAAUUUGUGCCUAACCCAAUUUCAAAGAAUUUUAACCAUUAUUCUAGGGCAAGCUGUCUUCUAAAGUAGCUAGGCACCUGCGAAGUAUGCGCUAGUAUUUUAUUCAGACAAAACAAAAAAUGGUGUAUUUAAGAAAGGGAAUGAGAAACCGGUGAUUUAAAAAAAUAAAUAAAAAAUUCAAAAAAUCCUUGUCAGCUUUUUACUCUGCUGCUUUCACUACAGCAUGAGGCUCAUCCACGUAAAACAACUGUGAGACCAGGAGAGGCUCUGCAGCUAUACCAGGCUUCUUACCACCGCUGGCGAAGCUGAACGCCUCUGUUCAGAGGUGCCCGUGGAAGCAGCGGGACCUGGACCUGAUGCUCACAGCCCCCCAGUGCAGCUGGAAUUCCACGGCACAAUUACAAGGCAACGUAACACAUCCCCGCCGCGCAGCCUCUUGUGCUGAGGAUGCGGAGGAGCAGAGUUUGCUGUCGCUGAAGUAAGCAGAGCUCUCCGUACGGCAACAAGGAAGCGAUUAUUCUCGAGCACUCUCGUUGCCUGUCAGCACAGCCUGGCCGAUCUGACUUUUCCCCCCCCUUUUUGGGGGGAGGGACAGCACAACUCUCCUGCCUGAUGCGAGUGGGGACUGUAAAAUCAAAACUGGGGAAAAUGCACAAAGAAAUGCUGCCAGCUCGUUUGUAUCCCCCCUGCACCGAGAGCCCAGCCCUGAGAACUGGCAGGCUUCUCCAGCUCCCUUUCUUUCAGUGGCAGCUCCGGACCAUUUAUCUUUCUGAUUUGGUGUAGAAAAAGAAACUUUCUGUAUACUACACACACACACACAAAAAAAAAAAAAAAAAAAAAAAAAAAAAAAAAAAAAAAA